GAUGAACGCUGGCGGCGUGCCUAAUACAUGCAAGUAGAACGCUGAAGGAGGAGCUUGCUCUUCUGGAUGAGUUGCGAACGGGUGAGUAACGCGUAGGUAACCUGCCUGGUAGCGGGGGAUAACUAUUGGAAACGAUAGCUAAUACCGCAUGACAACAGUUAUUGCAUGAUAACUGUUUAAAAGGGGCAACUGCUCCACUACCAGAUGGACCUGCGUUGUAUUAGCUAGUUGGUGAGGUAACGGCUCACCAAGGCGACGAUACAUAGCCGACCUGAGAGGGGGAUCGGCCACCCUGGGACUGAGACACGGCCCAGACGCCUACGGGAGGCAGCAGUAGGGAAUCUUCGGCAAUGGACGGAAGUCUGACCGAGCAACGCCGCGUGAGGGAAGAAGGUUUUCGGAUCGUAAAGCUCUGUUGUAAGAGAAGAACGAGUGUGAGAGUGGAAAGUUCACACUGUGACGGUAUCUUACCAGAAAGGGACGGCUAACUACGUG
rnacentral:rRNA from 1 species